CAUUAGCUCAGUUGGAUAGAGUGCCUGAUUCCGAAUCAGUAGGCCGCAGGUUCGAGUCCUGUAUGA
rnacentral:tRNA from 1 species